UAACGAAUCUUCCGCAAUGGGCGAAAGCCUGACGGAGCAAUGCCGCGUGUGGGAUGAAGCGCCUUCGGCGUGUAAACCACUGUCAGGGAAUGGAACCAAUGAUUAUUCCCAAAGGAAGUGGCGACUAACUCUGUGCCAGCAGUCGCGGUAAUACAGAGGCCCCAAGCGUUAUCCGGAAUCACUGGGCGUAAAGGGUGUCGAGGCGGUUGUAUUAGUCGUUCGUAAAAUCUACGAGCUUAACUUGUAGGCGGCGAACGAAACGGUACGACUUGAGGUUUGGAGAGGUGCGUGGAACUCACGGUGUAGGGGUGAAAUCCGUUGAUAUCGUGGGGAACACCAAAGGCGAAGGCAGCGCACUGGCCAAAAUCUGACGCUCACACACGAAAGCUAGGGUAGCGAAGAGGAUUAGAUACCCAAGUAGUCCCUGAGCGGGCUGGCAAGGCGCAU
rnacentral:rRNA from 1 species